GAUGAACGCUGGCGGCGUGCCUAAUCCAUGCAAGUCGAGCGAAGCGGGGACGGGUGAGUAACCCGUGGAUAACCUCCUAUAAGCCUGGGAUAACUUCGGGAAACCGGGUCUAUACCGGAUACUUCUCGAUUGAUCCUCGCUGCAUUAGCUAGUUGGUAAGGUAACGGCUUACCAAGCCAACGAUGCAUAGCCGACCUGAGAGGGUGAUCGGCCACACUGGAACGUAGACACGGUCCAGACUCCUACGGGAGGCAGCAGUAGGGAAUCUUGCGCAAUGGGAGAAAGCCUGACGGAGCAAAGCCGCGGGAGUGAUGAAGGUCUUCGGAUCGUAAAACUCUGUUAUUAGGGAAGCGUUACCUAAUCAGAAAGCCACGGCUAACUACGUGCCAGCAGCCGCGGUAAUUC
rnacentral:rRNA from 1 species